GCCAGGCACAGUGGGGUGUGCCUGCAGUCCCAGCUACUCCGGAGGCUGAGGUGGGAGGAUCGCUUGAGCCCAGGAGUUCUGGGCUGUAGUGUGCUAUGCCAAUCAGGUGUCCGCAAUAAGUUCAGCAUCAAUAUGGUGACCUCCCAGGAGCGGGGGAUCACCAGGUUGCCUAUGGAAGGGUGAACCGGCCCAGGUCAGAAACAGAGCAGGUCAAAACUCCCAUGCUGAUCAGUAGUGGGAUCACACCUGUGAAUAGCCACUGCACUCCAGCCUGGGCAGCAUGGCAAGACCCCAUCUCU
ensembl:misc_RNA Metazoa_SRP Metazoan signal recognition particle RNA